rnacentral:rRNA from 1 species
UGGGCAACCUGCCCCUAACUCUGGGAUAACCCCGGGAACCGGAGCUAAUACCGGAUACGAGACCGAGUGGCAUCACACGGUCUGGAAAGUUUUUCGGUUAGGGAUGGGGUCGCGGCCUAUCAGCUUGUUGGUGGGGUAACGGCCUACCAAGGCGACGACGGGUAGCCGGCCUGAGAGGGUGACCGGCCACACUGGGACUGAGACACGGCCCAGACUCCUACGGGAGGCA